UACAGAGACCUCGAGCGUUAUCCGGAUUGAUUGGGCGUAAAGCGUGCGCAGACGGUUUUUUAAGUCUGCGGUUAAAUCCCGAUGCUUAACAUCGGGCCUGCCGCGGAAACUAGAAGACUAGAGUAUGGAAGAGGCUAGCGGAAUUGCCAGUGUAACGGUAAAAUGUGUUAAUAUUGGCAAGAACACCAGAUGCGAAAGCGGCUAGCUGGUACAUUACUGACGUUGUUGCACGAAAGCGUGGGGAGCGAAUGGGAUUAGAUACCCCAGUAGUCCACGCCGUAAACGAUGGAUAUUAGUCGUUGGCAGUAUCGACCCUGUCAGCGGCGGUUAAAAUAGCUAACGCAAUAAAUAUCCCGCCUGGGAAGUACGGCCGCAAGGCUAAA
rnacentral:rRNA from 1 species